CCGGUCCAGGUGCCGGCCGGCCCCUGUCGCGCGCUUAGAACCAGAUUCCGAGGACGAGAGGUUCAGACACACCGAGAGGGGAGGCUUCGCAAGCUGACCCCAGCCGUGCUCCCCCACCUGCCGCCGUCGCUGCUAAACCGGCCCACGGCUGCGGCCACUUCCACCAGUUAUACCCAAGGCUUUCCGGAUCCGCCCUCAGGUGCCCUAGGAGUGGCGCGGGCCACGUGACACGCAGGAUAGCUCAGCCCUCAGCGGUCCAUGACUUGGUGUUUUCCGCCAUCGUCUUCGUGCUCAGGUUUCCUACAUCUCUUCGGGGCAGCCUGCGGUUCCUGCUGUUCCCUGUGGAUAUCCUGGUAUCACCUGAAGCCAAUGUGCAUUUCCUCCGACCUUUUUGAUUCCCCUUGGUUCACGGAUGAACCGUGGUUUCUUGCGUAACUGACUACAAAGUCGUCUUGCCAGUCACGUUUGAGAUGACAAAAUUGCUCAGAAAAACGUUCCUCAGCAUGCUAAUGUUUGUUAAUUUUCACAAGUGCCUACAGGAGAAGUAGGAGACACUAUAGGGCUCCCAGAUGAAAACCAAAGAUAAAGAAAGCUUUUAUUUUUAAA